CACCUUUUUGUAUCUCAGUUUCCUUAGUUUUGUUCAUUUCUUUCCUUCUCUCCCUGUAAAUCUAAACCAAAAUAAUUUCUUUCUCAAAGUACACUCUCAGAAAUUCUUAUUAUGGAUUCAAACUACGAAUUGGAAGGAUCAAAUCCAUCUUUCCCUAUUCCCACAAUCAAUUUCCUUAUUUGUGUUUCAUUUCACCUUCCUCUGUUCCUGAAUUUCCUUAUCUUUGUUUAUUUCUCUCUGUAAAUGUAACCCAAAAU
rnacentral:lncRNA from 1 species